UGGGGAAUAUUGCACAAUGGGCGCAAGCCUGAUGCAGCCAUGCCGCGUGUGUGAAGAAGGCCUUCGGGUUGUAAAGCACUUUCAGCGAGGAGGAAGGUGGUGAGCUUAAUACGCUCAUCAAUUGACGUUACUCGCAGAAGAAGCACCGGCUAACUCCGUGCCAGCAGCCGCGGUAAUACGGAGGGUGCAAGCGUUAAUCGGAAUUACUGGGCGUAAAGCGCACGCAGGCGGUUUGUUAAGUCAGAUGUGAAAUCCCCGGGCUCAACCUGGGAACUGCAUUUGAAACUGGCAAGCUAGAGUCUCGUAGAGGGGGGUAGAAUUCCAGGUGUAGCGGUGAAAUGCGUAGAGAUCUGGAGGAAUACCGGUGGCGAAGGCGGCCCCCUGGACGAAGACUGACGCUCAGGUGCGAAAGCGUGGGGCAGCAAACAGGAUUAGAUACCCUGGUAGUCCACGCUGUAAACGAUGUCGAUUUUGGAGGUUGUGCCCUUCUGAGGCGUGGCUUCCGGAGCUAACGCGUUAAAUCGACCGCCUGGGGAGUACGGCCGCAAGGUUAAAACUCAAAGGAAUUGACGGGGUC
rnacentral:rRNA from 1 species